AUUGGACGCUGGCGGCAGGCCUAACACAUGCAAGUCGAGCGGAUGACGGGAGCUUGCUCCUUGAUUCAGCGGCGGACGGGUGAGUAAUGCCUAGGAAUCUGCCUGGUAGUGGGGGACAACGUUUCGAAAGGAACGCUAAUACCGCAUACGUCCUACGGGAGAAAGCAGGGGACCUUCGGGCCUUGCGCUAUCAGAUGAGCCUAGGUCGGAUUAGCUAGUAGGUGAGGUAAUGGCUCACCUAGGCGACGAUCCGUAACUGGUCUGAGAGGAUGAUCAGUCACACUGGAACUGAGACACGGUCCAGACUCCUACGGGAGGCAGCAGUGGGGAAUAUUGGACAAUGGGCGAAAGCCUGAUCCAGCCAUGCCGCGUGUGUGAAGAAGGUCUUCGGAUUGUAAAGCACUUUAAGUUGGGAGGAAGGGCAGUAAGCGAAUACCUUGCUGUUUUGACGUUACCGACAGAAUAAGCACCGGCUAACUCUGUGCCAGCAGCCGCCGCAGUAA
rnacentral:rRNA from 1 species